rnacentral:rRNA from 1 species
AAGGAAUAUUGGUCAAUGGACGCAAGUCUGAACCAGCCAUGCCGCGUGCAGGAAGACAGCCUUAUGGGUUGUAAACUGCUUUUAUACAGGAAUAAACCCCCUUUCGUGAAAGGGCUGAAGGUCUGUACGAAUA